rnacentral:rRNA from 1 species
UACGGAGGGUGCAAGCGUUAUCCGGAUUUACUGGGUUUAAAGGGUGCGUAGGUGGGUAGGUAAGUCAGUGGUGAAAUCUUCAAGCUUAACUUGGAAACUGCCAUUGAUACUAUUUAUCUUGAAUACUUUGGAGGUAAGCGGAAUAUGUCAUGUAGCGGUGAAAUGCUUAGAUAUGACAUAGAACACCAAAUUGCGAAGGCAGCUUACUACACAGUAAUUGACACUGAGG